UCAGAAUCGUAAUAUGGUCACAUUGCCACGUGCAUUCUUUCACUUCUUUUUUUCACUCAAAAUGGACGGUCGAGUUUUCUGCUUUGAUUCUCAACUAAAAUUUAAUAAGAUGGAUGAUGUGCGGUAGCAGGAACAAUCUCUGAAAAUAGCAAUGGAAAAGAACAAUUUUCAAGGUUUUCUACCACAUUUAUCCACACGUGUCCAAAAGUAAGAUUCCAUUUGAAAGUGUAUUAAAAUGCACAUGGCUUACGAGAAGAUAGACGGAAGCAAAAUAAGAUGAGCAGAAAAAGGUGCUCACGAAUGCCUGAGAAAUGGAAAUGUUUAGAACUAAAUUCAGAGAUCUUGGUUGGACUGCGUAACAAUAAUGGGCACAUCAGAAAAUGAGUAACAAAACUCCAAAUUGUUUUCAAUUGACCGAAAUAUGCAAUCCACUAAACCAUCUGGAUUUCUUCUCAGAACAAUGGCUACCAAUGGAAACUAGAAGUGCAGACGAAUUCGGGAUUAUAAGAAAUAUCUUGUUCUCUCGUUGUAUUGCACACGAAAAAUCGUUUUCCGGCUAUGUAGUUUGACGGCAAAGCAAGGAGAAAUGCGUAAAUAUCAUCAUAAAAUUUCAUGAAAAAAUGAUAUCUGCGCACUAAAUCAAUCAAGCUUUGAAGGAAUUUAGGUGAUUAGAAAGCAUUAUGCGAAAAAUCAGUAUUUGGUUCUAUCGGUACCUCAACCUUAUCUUAUUUGAUCAAUAACAAAAAAAGAUUCACAAAGAUAGGAACAUUUCCAAAUUAUACCCAGUGGAGGAUGCCUUAAAAAGUUUUAAGAUAUUCACACUUUCUGAAGUACACAAAUAGCAAUUGAUUUUUAGUACAAGAUACUCACACUUUCUGAAGUACAUAAACAUCAAUUGAUUUUUAGUACAAGAUAUCUUAGGAUUGCCAGUGGAGCAGAAUAUUUACCCGUCAACCUUAUUAAGACUUCACCAUUUAUUGGAUCGAUCUUAUCGAGUUGCUAAAACAUCCAUUAACGUAGAAAUGCUUAAAAGGCUACCUGGCUUUAGGCUUUGUGAAUCAACUGAACUUUGUGGUAUCAUGCGGAUUGCGAAGAUCAAACACCUCACUCUGAACUCUGAAAACCAAACUGUUGUAGUCAUUUGAAGAAAUAAAAACUCAAGAGAUACUGUUUAAUAUAA